rnacentral:rRNA from 1 species
UACGUAGGUGGCAAGCGUUGUCCGGAUUUACUGGGCGUAAAGAGCGCGCAGGCGGUCGUUCAAGUCGCGUGUGAAAGCCCCCGGCUCAACUGGGGAGGGUCACGCGACACUGAUCGACUCGAAGGCAGGAGAGGGUAGUGGAAUUCCCGGUGUAGUGGUGAAAUGCGUAGAUGUCGGGAGGAACACCAGUGGCGAAGGCGACUACCUGGCCUGUUCUUGACGCUGAGGCGCGAAAGCUAGGGGAGCAAACGGG